GACGAACGCUGGCGGCGUGCCUAACACAUGCAAGUCGAGCGAAUGAAGUUCCUUCGGGAACGGAUUUAGCGGCGGACGGGUGAGUAACACGUGGGCAACCUGCCUCAUAGAGGGGAAUAGCCUUCCGAAAGGGAGAUUAAUACCGCAUAAGAUUGUAGUACCGCAUGGUACAGCAAUUAAAGGAGUAAUCCGCUAUGAGAUGGGCCCGCGGCGCAUUAGCUAGUUGGUGAGGUAACGGCUCACCAAGGCGACGAUGCGUAGCCGACCUGAGAGGGUGAUCGGCCACAUUGGGACUGAGACACGGCCCAGACUCCUACGGGAGGCAGCAGUGGGGAAUAUUGCACAAUGGGGGAAACCCUGAUGCAGCAACGCCGCGUGAGUGAUGACGGCCUUCGGGUUGUAAAGCUCUGUCUUCAGGGACGAUAAUGACGGUACCUGAGGAGGAAGCCACGGCUAACUACGUGCCAGCAGCCGCCGUAAGAC
rnacentral:rRNA from 1 species